CACGUAGGGCGCGAGCGUUGUCCGGAAUUACUGGGCGUAAAGAGCUCGUAGGUGGUUUGUCGCGUUGUUCGUGAAAACUCACAGCUUAACUGUGGGCGUGCGGGCGAUACGGGCAGACUGGAGUACUGCAGGGGAGACUGGAAUUCCUGGUGUAGCGGUGGAAUGCGCAGAUAUCAGGAGGAACACCGGUGGCGAAGGCGGGUCUCUGGGCAGUAACUGACGCUGAGGAGCGAAAGCGUGGGGAGCGAACAGG
rnacentral:rRNA from 1 species